rnacentral:rRNA from 3 species
UGGUGGGUAGUUUGACUGGGGCGGUCUCCUCCUAAAGAGUAACGGAGGAGCACGAAGGUUGGCUAAUCCUGGUCGGACAUCAGGAGGUUAGUGCAAUGGCAUAAGCCAGCUUGACUGCGAGCGUGACGGCGCGAGCAGGUGCGAAAGCAGGUCAUAGUGAUCCGGUGGUUCUGAAUGGAAGGGCCAUCGCUCAACGGAUAAAAGGUACUCCGGGGAUAACAGGCUGAUACCGCCCAAGAGUUCAUAUCGACGGCGGUGUUUGGCACCUCGAUGUCGGCUCAUCACAUCCUGGGGCUGAAGUAGGUCCCAAGGGUAUGGCUGUUCGCCAUUUAAAGUGGUACGCGAGCUGGGUUUAGAACGUCGUGAGACAGUUCGGUCCCUAUCUGCCGUGGGCGCUGGAGAACUGAGGGGGGCUGCUCCUAGUACGAGAGGACCGGAGUGGACGCAUCACUGGUGUUCGGGUUGUCAUGCCAAUGGCACUGCCCGGUAGCUAAAUGCGGAAGAGAUAAGUGCUGAAAGCAUCUAAGCACGAAACUUGCCCCGAGAUGAGUUCUCCCUGACUCCUUGAGAGUCCUGAAGGAACGUUGAAG